AGAGUUUGAUCAUGGCUCAGGAUGAACGCUAGCUACAGGCUUAACACAUGCAAGUCGAGGGGAAACGACAUCGAAAGCUUGCUUUUGAUGGGCGUCGACCGGCGCACGGGUGAGUAACGCGUAUCCAACCUGCCCACCACUUGGGGAUAACCUUGCGAAAGUAAGACUAAUACCCAAUGACGUCUCUAGAAGACAUCUGAAAGGGAUUAAAGAUUUAUCGGUGAUGGAUGGGGAUGCGUCUGAUUAGCUUGUUGGCGGGGUAACGGCCGACCAAGGCUACGAUCAGUAGGGGUUCUGAGAGGAAGGUCCCUCACAUUGGAACUGAGAUACGGUCCAAACUCAUACGGGAGGCA
rnacentral:rRNA from 1 species